rnacentral:rRNA from 1 species
AAUGAGAGUUUGAUCCUGGCUCAGGACGAACGCUGGCGGCGUGGAUAAGGCAUGCAAGUCGAACGGAUUUAUUUUUGUUAGCAAUAACUAAAAUGAAUUAGUGGCAGACGAGGUAGUAACACGUAGGUACGUACCCCAAAGUCGGGCAUAACUCAUCGAAAGGUGGGCUAAUUCCCGAUAUUGUCUCGAGAGUAAUCGAGGGACGAAAGGAGCAAUCCGCUUUGGGAACGGCCUGCGGGCUAUCAGCUUGUUGGUAGGGUAACGGCCUACCAAGGCGAUGACGGCUAGGGGGCGUGAGAGCGUGAUCCCCACCGACGGAACUGAGACACGGUCCGUACACCUACGGGUGGCAGCAGUCGAGAAUCUUCGACAAUGGGCGAAAGCCUGAUCGAGCGACGCCGCGUGCAGGAUGAAAUCCUUCGGGAUGUAAACUGCUUUUGGCAGGGAAAAACACAAUGAUGGUACCUGCAGAAUAAGGGCCUGCAAAUCUCGUGCCAGCAGCCGCGGUAAUACGAGAGGCCCAAGCGUUGUCCGGAGUUACUGGGCGUAAAGGGUGCGUAGGGGGUUGUGUUAGCCUCACCUUAAAUCUUCAUGCCUAACAUGAAGGCUGGGCGGGGAACGGCACAACUUGAGGGCGCGAGAGGCGAGUGGAACUCAUGGUGGAGGGGUGAAAUCCGUUGAUAUCAUGGGGAACACCAAAGGCGAAGGCAGCUCGCUGGCGCGUACCUGACCCUGAAGCACGAAAGCGUGGGGAUCAAAAAGGAUUAGAUACCCUUGUAGUCCACGCCCUAAACGAUGAUGACUAGCUAUUGGAAGUAUCGACCCUUUCAGUGGCGAAGCUAACGCGUUAAGUCAUCCGCCUGGGAAGUACGAGCGCAAGCUUAAAACUCAAAGGAAUAGACGGGGACUCGCACAAGCGGUGGAGCAUGUGGUUCAAUUCGACGGUAAACGAAGAACCUCACCAGGGCUUGAAAUUCCGACGACGAUUUUCCGAAAGGAAAAUUUUCUCACAAGGACGGCGGAACAGGUGCUGCAUGGUUGUCGUCAGUUCGUGGCUUGAGCUGUUCCCUUAAGUGGGGUAACGAACGCAACCCCUGUU